GGAAGCGUGCCCGAGAGGCCAAAAGGCUCUGCCUGGAAUGCAGAUGGUCGGCACUGCCGGCACAAGGGUUCGACUCCCUUCGCUUCCGCCA
rnacentral:tRNA from 1 species